rnacentral:rRNA from 16 species
ACAGGGAUUGCCCUAGUAACGGCGAGUGAAGCGGCAACAGCUCAAAUUUGAAAUCUGGCGUCUUUGGCGUCCGAGUUGUAAUUUGCAGAGGGCGCUUUGGCAUUGGCAGCGGUCCAAGUUCCUUGGAACAGGACGUCACAGAGGGUGAGAAUCCCGUACGUGGUCGCUAGCCUUUACCGUGUAAAGCCCCUUCGACGAGUCGAGUUGUUUGGGAAUGCAGCUCUAAAUGGGAGGUAAAUUUCUUCUAAAGCUAAAUACUGGCCAGAGACCGAUAGCGCACAAGUAGAGUGAUCGAAAGAUGAAAAGCACUUUGGAAAGAGAGUUAAAAAGCACGUGAAAUUGUUGAAAGGGAAGCGCUUGCAGCCAGACUUGCCUGUAGUUGCUCAUCCGGGUUUUUACCCGGUGCACUCUUCUAUAGGCAGGCCAGCAUCAGUUUGGGCGGUUGGAUAAAGGUCUCUGUCACGUACCUCCUCUCGGGGAGAACUUAUAGGGGAGACGUAAUGCAACCAGCCUGGACUGAGGUCCGCGCAUCUGCUAGGAUGCUGGCGUAAUGGCUGUAAGCGGCCCGUCUUGAAACACGGACCAAGGAGUCUAACAUCUAUGCGAGUGUUUGGGUGUCAAGCCCGAGCGCGUAAUGAAAGUGAACGGAGGUGGGAACCUUUCGGGGUGCACCAUCGACCGAUCCUGAUGUCUUCGGAUGGAUUUGAGUAAGAGCAUAGCUGUUGGGACCCGAAAGAUGGUGAACUAUGCUUGAAUAGGGUGAAGCCAGAGGAAACUCUGGUGGAGGCUCGCAGCGGUUCUGACGUGCAAAUCGAUCGUCAAAUUUGGGCAUAGGGGCGAAAGACUAAUCGAACUAUCUAGUAGCUGGUUCCUGCCGAAGUUUCCCUCAGGAUAGCAGUAACGUUUUCAGUUUUAUGAGGUAAAGCGAAUGAUUAGAGGCCUGGGGGUUGAAACAACCUUCACCUAUUCUCAAACUUUAAAUAUGUAAGAAGUCCUUGUUACUUAAUUGAACGUGGACAGUUGAAUGUAUCGUUACUAGUGGGCCAUUUUUGGUAAGCAGAACUGGCGAUGCGGGAUGAACCGAACGCGGGGUUAAGGUGCCAGAAUAUACGCUCAUCAGACACCACAAAAGGUGUUAGUUCAUCUAGACAGCAGGACGGUGGCCAUGGAAGUCGGAAUCCGCUAAGGAGUGUGUAACAACUCACCUGCCGAAUGAACUAGCCCUGAAAAUGGAUGGCGCUCAAGCGUAUUACCCAUACCCCGCCGCUGGGGCAAGAUUUAAGCCCCAGCGAGUAGGCAGGCGUGGAGGUCCGUGACGAAGCCUUGG